GACGAACGUUGGCGGCGUGCUUAAUACAUGCAAGUCAACUGAAGCAGUGGUAGCAAUAUCGCUGUGGAGGUGGCGCACGGGUGAGUAACACGUAGGUAAUCUGCCUUCAGGUCUGGCAUAACUCCGGGAAACCGGGGCUAAUAGCAGAUGAUGCAGCGGCUCGACAUCGAGACAGUUGUUAAAGCUAUGGCGCCUGAAGAUGAGCCUGCGUCUGAUUAGCUAGUUGGCGGGGUAACGGCCCACCAAGGCAACGAUCAGUAGCUGGUCUGAGAGGAUGAUCAGCCACACUGGAACUGAGACACGGUCCAGACUGCUACGGGAGGCAGCAGUAAGGAAUAUUGCUCAAUGGGAGAAAUCCUGAAGCAGCAACGCCGCGUGAGGGACGAAGGGCUUUUGCUUGUAAACCUCUGUAGUGAGAGAAAAAAAUCCCAAUCUUUGGGACAUGAUGGUAUCUCAAAAGUAAGCCCCGGCUAACUACGUG
rnacentral:rRNA from 1 species